rnacentral:rRNA from 1 species
AAUCCAUAGGUUAAUGAGGCGAACCGGGGGAACUGAAACAUCUAAGUACCCCGAGGAAAAGAAAUCAACCGAGAUUCCCCCAGUAGCGGCGAGCGAACGGGGAGGAGCCCAGAGCCUGAAUCAGCAUGUGUGUUAGUGGAAGCGUCUGGAAAGGCGCGCGAUACAGGGUGACAGCCCCGUACACAAAAGCGCAUGUGCUGUGAGCUCGAUGAGUAGGGCGGGACACGUGGUAUCCUGUCUGAAUAUGGGGGGACCAUCCUCCAAGGCUAAAUACUCCUGACUGACCGAUAGUGAACCAGUACCGUGAGGGAAAGGCGAAAAGAACCCCGGCGAGGGGAGUGAAAAAGAACCUGAAACCGUGUACGUACAAGCAGUGGGAGCACCCUUUGGGGUGUGACUGCGUACCUUUUGUAUAAUGGGUCAGCGACUUAUAUUCUGUAGCAAGGUUAACCGUAUAGGGGAGCCGGAGGGAAACCGAGUCUUAACCGGGCGUUAAGUUGCAGGGUAUAGACCCGAAACCCGGUGAUCUAGCCAUGGGCAGGUUGAAGGUUGGGUAACACUAACUGGAGGACCGAACCGACUAAUGUUGAAAAAUUAGCGGAUGACCUGUGGCUGGGGGUGAAAGGCCAAUCAAACCGGGAGAUAGCUGGUUCUCCCCGAAAGCUAUUUAGGUAGCGCCUCGUGAA